AUUGAACGCUGGCGGCAUGCUUUACACAUGCAAGUCGAACGGCAGCACGGGGGCAACCCUGGUGGCGAGUGGCGAACGGGUGAGUAACACAUCGGAACGUGCCCAGUUGUGGGGGAUAACCUAUCGAAAGGUAGGCUAAUACCGCAUGAGCUCGGCAAGAGGAAAGCGGGGGACUCAGCGAUGGGCCUCGCGCGACUGGAGCGGCCGAUGUCCGAUUAGCAGUUGGUGGGGUAAAGGCUUACCAAGGCGACGAUCGGUAGCUGGUCUGAGAGGAUGAUCAGCCACACUGGGACUGAGACACGGCCCAGACUCCUACGGGAGGCAGCAGUGGGGAAUUUUGGACAAUGGGGCAACCCUGAUCCAGCCAUGCCGCGUGAGUGAAGAAGG
rnacentral:rRNA from 1 species